rnacentral:tRNA from 1 species
UCCCUGGUAGCUUAGUUGGUAAAGAAUCUGCCUGCAGUGCAGAAAACCCAGUUUGGAUCCCUGGGUUGGGAA